rnacentral:rRNA from 1 species
UACGUAGGGUGCGAGCGUUGUCCGGAAUUAUUGGGCGUAAAGGGCUCGUAGGCGGUUUGUCGCGUCGGGAGUGAAAACAUCCAGCUUAACUGGGUGCUUGCUUUCGAUACGGGCAGACUUGAGGUAUGCAGGGGAGAAUGGAAUUCCUGGUGUAGCGGUGAAAUGCGCAGAUAUCAGGAGGAACACCGGUGGCGAAGGCGGUUCUCUGGGCAUUACCUGACGCUGAGGAGCGAAAGUGUGGGGAGCAAACAGG